AUGACUUGACUUGAUUGGGGUCUCUGCUGUGGUCCAUGGUGAGUUUAUAAGUCCCCUUGGCUGUAUCAGAAGGGGAGAGGGUAAGAUGUAACUCUUGGACUUGGUUAAAUCUGGACCUGCUUGAAUCAGUGAAGUUAUCAGAUUGGUGAUGCUCUGAGUCUGAACCAUGUUACUAUGUUCUUCAUACUCGACUGCUGAAUGAUGAUCGUGAGAUUGCAUGCUUAUAUGAUCAAGAGAUUGGAGAUAAAUCCUGUCACAAAAUCCCUCAACAAGAAGCACAAGAUGACAUUUUUUGUUGGUAAUUUGCUUGUACAGGCACCACUGAGGAUCUUUAGCCAUGUUGAGAUAAGUGGGGAAAAAGAUCUCCAUGCAAACCUUCAUCAAGACAAAAAGAGUAGUUCCUCGAAGGAAAAUAUUGGUGUGGGUGGCAAACUUGUUGUCUCCACCAGCUUCCUGUAGUAGUCCAACAAUAAUGGCAGUUUCACCACUUCCUCCUUAUCUGUGGGUGUCCCAAUUAUUGGUGUUGCAGUUGUAAGUCCUUUUCUGCUUUCCUGGACCUAAUGAUCUGUCAACGUUGGUUCAGGUCAUGAGAACUUGGACUUCAUUCAUGGUGCAGUGCAACACUUCGUUGUCUGCAAAUGCUUUGAAGCACUUUCCUUCUUGUCAACAAGUUUGGUGAAGGAAUCAUUCAGCACCAGUGAAUAGGCUUGGAAGCCGAGGAGUGUGGAUUGCGUAUUGUAAGCUGAAGCUUCAUCUUCAUCUUCAUCUUCAUCUUCGGAUAGCUGAGUUCCAGAAGAGCGUUGAACAUUCCAUCAGAUGCAGUGCAGCAGCCUCUUUUGACCAAAUCAAUAUAUUUGCAAGAGGUCAUUCUCUCGUACACUCGUUUUUGUCUCCAACCGUGUGAUUGAGGCUCUCUGCCUAAAACCACACGUACCUGUAUGAACAGCUAAUGGUUGUCUUUUUGUCCUGAUUCUUUUA